rnacentral:rRNA from 1 species
AAACUUUCAACAGCGGAUCUCUUGGCUCUCGCAUCGAUGAAGAACGCAGCGAAAUGCGAUAAGUAAUGUGAAUUGCAGAAUUCAGUGAAUCAUCGAAUCUUUGAACGCACCUUGCGCCUUUUGGUAUUCCGAAAGGCAUGCCUGUUUGAGUGUCAUGA